UACGGGGGGGGCAAGCGUUGUUCGGAAUUACUGGGCGUAAAGGGUGCGUAGGCGGUCCGCUAAGUUAGGUGUGAAAACUCUGGGCUCAACCCAGAGCCUGCAUCUAAUACUGACGGGCUAGAGUUCUGGAGGGGGUAGCGGAAUUCCUGGUGUAGCGGUGAAAUGCGUAGAUAUCAGGAGGAACACCGGUGGCGAAGGCGGCUACCUGGACAGAGUCUGACGCUGAGGCACGAAAGCUAGGGGAGCAAACAGG
rnacentral:rRNA from 1 species